rnacentral:pre_miRNA from 1 species
CACCUACUCCCUCCGUUCGGAAUUACUUGUCGCGAAAAUGGAUGUAUCUAAACGUAUUUUAAUUCUAGAUACAUCCAUUUCCAAGACAAGUAAUUCCGAACAGAGGGAGUAGCUA